UACGGAGGUGGCAAGCGUUGUUCGGAAUUACUGGGCGUAAAGGGCGCGUAGGCGGCAAGGCAAGUCAGGUGUGAAAUCCCCAGGCUUAACCUGGGAACUGCAUCCGAUACUGGAUGGCUUGAAUUCAGGAGAGGGAUGCAGAAUUCCAGGUGUAGCGGUGAAAUGCGUAGAUAUCUGGAGGAAUACCGGUGGCGAAGGCGGCAUCCUGGACCGAGAUUGACGCUGAUGAGCGAAAGCGUGGGGAGCGAACAGG
rnacentral:rRNA from 1 species